AACGAACGCUGGCGGCAUGCCUAACACAUGCAAGUCGAACGAAGCCUUCGGGCUUAGUGGCGCACGGGUGCGUAACGCGUGGGAAUCUGCCCUUGGGUUCGGAAUAACAGUUGGGAACGACUGCUAAUACCGGAUGAUGACGAAAGUCCAAAGAUUUAUCGCCAGAGGAUGAGCCCGCGUAGGAUUAGCUAGUUGGUGUGGUAGAGGCGCACCAAGGCGACGAUCCUUAGCUGGUCUGAGAGGAUGAUCAGCCACACUGGGACUGAGACACGGCCCAGACUCCUACGGGAGGCAGCAGUGGGGAAUAUUGGACAAUGGGCGAAAGCCUGAUCCAGCAAUGCCGCGUGAGUGAUGAAGGCCCUAGGGUUGUAAAGCUCUUUUACCCGGGAUGAUAAUGACAGUACCGGGAGAAUAAGCCCCGGCUAACUCCGUGCCAGCCGCCGCAGUAA
rnacentral:rRNA from 1 species